UACGGGGGAGGCAAGCGUUAAUCGGAUUUAUUGGGCGUAAAGAGCGUGUAGGCGGUUUCUUAAGUCGGGUCUUAAAGACCACGGCUCACCCGUGGGAGUGGGCCCGAUACUGAGGAACUUGAGUAUGGCAGAGGCAAGCGGAAUUCCAGGUGUAGCGGUGAAAUGCAUAGAUAUCUGGAGGAACACCCGUGGCGAAGGCGGCUUGCUGGGCUGUUACUGACGCUGAGACGCGAAAGCCAGGGGAGCGAACGGG
rnacentral:misc_RNA from 1 species